rnacentral:tRNA from 1 species
GCGCGAUUAGCUCAGUGGUAGAGCACUACCUCGACACGGUAGGGGUCACUGGUUCAAUCCCAGUAUCGCGC